CAUCUUCAUUUGACUUCCUGUCAUGAACUGGCCAAAGCCUUUAAAGAAUCUAUUUCAUGUCUCCAUGGAGAGGAAACCUGCCUCCUUAUAAUUUUUAUCCAAAGUAGUUAUGUUGUAAAAAUGUGAUUACUGCCUCUGCAGCACUCGCCUGCUUCUGUAAUGGGAUAAUUGCAGAUAAAGACUGAGUAGCCUAAUCAGGGGAAUAACAGGAGCUGUUCUGAUACAGGUCAGGCAGCUGGGAGAAUGGGAUUAGCACAGAAACACACUUUUGAUGGAUGGGGAUGAGGCAGUUUUGAACCUGCGGGAACUGAAAAAUAUCAUCAGACACAUGCUGGAUUAUGUAAGGUCAGGUGCUGCGUAAGACUGAGCUGAUCAAUGCCACACACAGAGAGACCAUCCACUCCUGCGAAGGACUGCCUGGGAGAAGGCUUGUGCAG